rnacentral:lncRNA from 1 species
CAUAAAUACUCAAGCAGAUAGUAAAUAACAAACCAAAGACAUAGAUAAUUUAUUUAUUCUUCUUCACAAAAACAUUUUUCAAAUCAUAUCAUUGCAGAAGAUUUAUUCACAUAAACUCAAACCAAAUCCAAUCACUCAUCAUUUUGCAUUUUGCAUACACCUUAAUGAAUUUAAAUUACUAUAAAGUACACAACACCCCUAAUGAUA